rnacentral:rRNA from 1 species
GAUGAACGCUAGCGGCAGGCUUAAUACAUGCAAGUCGAGGGGCAACAGGGGUAGCAAUACCUGCUGGCGACCGGCAAACGGGUGCGGAACACGUACAGAACCUUCCUUUAAGCGGGGAGUAGCCCACUAGAAAUAGUGGAGUUAAUUACCCACUAGAAUUAUGGUGUGGCGAUCACACAGUAAUUAAAGUAAUUUAUUCACUUAGUAGA